rnacentral:rRNA from 1 species
CGGAUGCUUGUUUGAACCGCAUGGUUCAAACAUAAAAGGUGGCUUCGGCUACCACUUACAGAUGGACCCGCGGCGCAUUAGCUAGUUGGUGAGGUAACGGCUCACCAAGGCAACGAUGCGUAGCCGACCUGAGAGGGUGAUCGGCCACACUGGGACUGAGACACGGCCCAGACUCCUACGGGAGGCAGCAGUAGGGAAUCUUCCGCAAUGGACGAAAGUCUGACGGAGCAACGCCGCGUGAGUGAUGAAGGUUUUCGGAUCGUAAAGCUCUGUUGUUAGGGAAGAACAAGUACCGUUCAAAUAGGGCGGUACCUUGACGGUACCUAACCAGAAAGCCACGGCUAACUACGUGCCAGCAGCCGCGGUAAUACGUAGGUGGCAAGCGUUGUCCGGAAUUAUUGGGCGUAAAGGGCUCGCAGGCGGUUCCUUAAGUCUGAUGUGAAAGCCCCCGGCUCAACCGGGGAGGGUCAUUGGAAACUGGGGAACUUGAGUGCAGAAGAGGAGAGUGGAAUUCCACGUGUAGCGGUGAAAUGCGUAGAGAUGUGGAGGAACACCAGUGGCGAAGGCGACUCUCUGGUCUGUAACUGACGCUGAGGAGCGAAAGCGUGGGGAGCGAACAGGAUUAGAUACCCUGGUAGUCCACGCCGUAAACGAUGAGUGCUAAGUGUUAGGGGGUUUCCGCCCCUUAGUGCUGCAGCUAACGCAUUAAGCACUCCGCCUGGGGAGUACGGUCGCAAGACUGAAACUCAAAGGAAUUGACGGGGGCCCGCACAAGCGGUGGAGCAUGUGGUUUAAUUCGAAGCAACGCGAAGAACCUUACCAGGUCUUGACAUCCUCUGACAAUCCUAGAGAUAGGACGUCCCCUUCGGGGGCAGAGUGACAGGUGGUGCAUGGUUGUCGUCAGCUCGUGUCGUGAGAUGUUGGGUUAAGUCCCGCAACGAGCGCAACCCUUGAUCUUAGUUGCCAGCAUUCAGUUGGGCACUCUAAGGUGACUGCCGGUGACAAACCGGAGGAAGGUGGGGAUGACGUCAAAUCAUCAUGCCCCUUAUGACCUGGGCUACACACGUGCUACAAUGGACAGAACAAAGGGCAGCGAAACCGCGAGGUUAAGCCAAUCCCACAAAUCUGUUCUCAGUUCGGAUCGCAGUCUGCAACUC